rnacentral:rRNA from 3 species
UGCAAGUCGAACGAUGAACCACUUCGGUGGGGAUUAGUGGCGAACGGGUGAGUAACACGUGGGCAAUCUGCCCUGCACUCUGGGACAAGCCCUGGAAACGGGGUCUAAUACCGGAUACUGAUCCUCGCAGGCAUCUGCGAGGUUCGAAAGCUCCGGCGGUGCAGGAUGAGCCCGCGGCCUAUCAGCUAGUUGGUGAGGUAACGGCUCACCAAGGCGACGACGGGUAGCCGGCCUGAGAGGGCGACCGGCCACACUGGGACUGAGACACGGCCCAGACUCCUACGGGAGGCAGCAGUGGGGAAUAUUGCACAAUGGGCGAAAGCCUGAUGCAGCGACGCCGCGUGAGGGAUGACGGCCUUCGGGUUGUAAACCUCUUUCAGCAGGGAAGAAGCGAAAGUGACGGUACCUGCAGAAGAAGCGCCGGCUAACUACGUGCCAGCAGCCGCGGUAAUACGUAGGGCGCAAGCGUUGUCCGGAAUUAUUGGGCGUAAAGAGCUCGUAGGCGGCUUGUCACGUCGGUUGUGAAAGCCCGGGGCUUAACCCCGGGUCUGCAGUCGAUACGGGCAGGCUAGAGUUCGGUAGGGGAGAUCGGAAUUCCUGGUGUAGCGGUGAAAUGCGCAGAUAUCAGGAGGAACACCGGUGGCGAAGGCGGAUCUCUGGGCCGAUACUGACGCUGAGGAGCGAAAGCGUGGGGAGCGAACAGGAUUAGAUACCCUGGUAGUCCACGCCGUAAACGGUGGGCACUAGGUGUGGGCAACAUUCCACGUUGUCCGUGCCGCAGCUAACGCAUUAAGUG